AGGAUGUGGCCGUAUCUUUUUGGGGGGCCACCAUUCAGCUCACUACACCAUACUGUAUGGAGAAGAAACAGGCAAGAACCCUGAGACCAGGAGUCACCCUGCGGGGCUGGACUGCUGAUGCCACAGGACUGCAGAGGGACCCACUAGGGGAAGAGAGAAGAUCUCCAUCCCAGCGUCAGAUCUGGCCCCAGUGGCCUCGUGGACGCCUCCACCUGUCUGUCUCACGGGAACCUCGAAGCCAGCACGUUAUAUAAGUCCAUGCCCGCUCCCCCUCCGCGCUCCCCCUUCCACGAACAGUACAACUCGCUCUGACCUGCGGCCUCCCCGGCCCUGCGUCAACCCCAACAUCUUCCAGCCCUUCCAUCUCUAGGACCGUGCCCUCGGGCAGGUCUCUGAGAUGACCCAGUGACUUCUCUGCUCACAGCCCACCCUUCGAAACCAGCCCUGCGAUCCUGCGGAUUGGAGCAAACGACACGCAGACACUCCUGUCUCAUGCAGUCACCAUGCAGUGUGAAGGAUACAUUUUCAGCACGAUGCCAGAGGGUGCCUGCUGGAGAGAGGGGGCUCCUCCACGACCCCCACUUGGCUCGUGGGGGGCAUGUUCCAGCUGGUGGCAACAGCAUGGUUCUCAGAUGUCAGUUCUCAAGGACACUGACGUAAUCGCUUGCUUGAUUCGCUUCACAAUCCACGCACAACUGCUCCGAAGAGCAAAACCAACCUCCACCACCAGCAUGGUGGCUAAAAAUAUUUAAGUAUUUUCAGUUAUUUUAGCUCUAGAGUGUGUUCUAUUGGGAAUAUAGUCAAAUUACUGUUUCA